AAAAAAUAUAAAUAGUUGUAUAAAAUAUCACCAUAUCAGUUUACCACCGUUAUGGUGCAACAAUUUACUCCAUCCAAUAAAGUAUUUCUCUAUCUUGUUCAAUAAUUUCCUUGCAUAAUACUACCAAUAUUACUCUAAGCAGAUCAUGGCAUAAAAUGGAAUAGCCAUUGUCGCUGCUUUUAUGAGAACUUCGUUGCUCCCUUGAGAUAUGUUACUUUAGCCUCUGUACAAAGGAUAGUUUGAUGUAAACACCUGACCAAAAGAAAAAAUCAAAUGCGAACAGGAGAGAGAAAAUAGCUGAUCAAUUACUCUUCUUAUAUUCAAAUGAAGGCAAUAGAAAGGAGGAGCUCCCUUCAGUCCAAGCACAGAAAAAGAGGGAUGCAAAAUUAUCUCCCGCAUCAUUCACACAACCACAGUAGCUAAAAUAGUAACUCUUUGUCUACUAGUGCUCAAAUGAAUGAGUCGGCAGAUAGUUCAGCCCCUUUAACCCCAUCCAUGAGUGGGCUGAAGGAAGCUCUCUCAAACCAUUUCUCCAUUCGACCCUAUCUGACUAGAAAACAACUUUCUUCAACUGCAGUUGUCACUCCAGCCAUGAUGAUGAAGUGAUGAUAAUGUAUGGAUUAACUAAUUUUGUUUAUAUUCAUGAACCCGUGGCCAUUAAAUCAUCACAUGUAAUAAACAAUUUGACGUAUCAAAAGAGAAGAAGGGCCAAACUAGAUAUCCGAAAUAUUCAAAGGAGUUCUCAUUUCCUGAUGAAGCGCAAAAUUAUUGUCAUCAGUAUACAGAUAAACGAAAAACUAUACUGCUUAACAAAAACAACACGGAAAGUAACGUUAGAGAUUUCCAAAUUAUUAAAAUUAUAAAUAAAAGCAAAGAAAAUUGCGUUCUUGCUCUUGUUAUGUUCCCAUGUUCGUAUAUGAUGGAAGGUAUUGUGUAUAACUGAGAAACAAAUUUCAAACUCUUAAAGUCUAGUGAAAAGUCGGCAUCAUCAAGAACAAAAACUUGAAUAUUUCCUGUCAAUAUACACACUAAAAUUGAGUAAUUGAAACUUCCCAAGCAUAUACUAUAACUUACAAAUACCUCAGAAGUUGUAAGAGAGGAUUAAGGGAUAUCUACUAUUCCGCAUAUAUAGACAAAAAGAUUGGAAACCCUACAGUAGCAAAACUGUUUUUGCUUCUUUUCUAUUAGGCAGAGGGAUUCUAUAUAACUUUAGAAGAAGUUAAAUCUGUUUUAUUCUUUCAGAGAAGAUCGAUUUAAAGAUUAAGAUUAAAGAAACUUAACAUCAAGGCAAUGUUAAAGUAAAAGAUUGUAGCGGGAAGGGAAAAUGGAUAGAGAAUUGAAGGAGCUGUCCAAUGGACAACUGGAUUUACCUUGGAAUUCUUGGCAAGUAUAAUCCCAUAGAGCAGCUUGUAUAUCCUCCGGACCCAAAAAAUGGGGGGAAAACCUGUAAAUAUGAUCUAAUCAUGGAGUGCAUACACAGAGAAGUGUGUACAUAUAUAUAUAUAUAUAUAUAUAUAUAUAUAUAUAUAUAUACAAAUAUUCAACCUAGUAUAUUAUGAACAUAUAGCUAUGAAACCUUAAACAAAGCAAUAUAAUUGCAACAUUGUUCAAAGGGCAUUGGAAAGAAAG
rnacentral:lncRNA from 1 species